rnacentral:rRNA from 1 species
GAUGAACGCUGGCGGCGUGCCUAAUACAUGCAAGUCGAGCGAACGGACGAGAAGCUUGCUUUUCUGAUGUUAGCGGCGGACGGGUGAGUAACACGUGGAUAACCUACCUAUAAGACUGGGAUAACUUCGGGAAACCGGAGCUAAUACCGGAUAAUAUUUUGAACCGCAUGGUUCAAAAGUGAAAGACGGUCUUGCUGUCACUUAUAGAUGGAUCCGCGCUGCAUUAGCUAGUUGGUAAGGUAACGGCUUACCAAGGCAACGAUGCAUAGCCGACCUGAGAGGGUGAUCGGCCACACUGGAACUGAGACACGGUCCAGACUCCACGGGAGGCAGCAGUAGGGAAUCUUCCGCAAUGGGCGAAAGCCUGACGGAGCAACGCCGCGUGAGUGAUGAAGGUCUUCGGAUCGUAAAACUCUGUUAUUAGGGAAGAACAUAUGUGUAAGUAACUGUGCACAUCUUGACGGUACCUAAUCAGAAAGCCACGGCUAACUACGUG